rnacentral:rRNA from 1 species
AGACGGAGGGGGCUAGUGUUAUUCGGAAUCACUGGGCGUAAAGAGUACGUAGGCGGUUUGGUAAGUCAGGUGUGAAAUCCCGGAGCUCAACUCCGGAACUGCAUCCGAUACUGCCAGACUUGAGUAAUGGAGAGGCAGGUGGAAUUCUCGGUGUAGCAGUGAAAUGCGUGGAUAUCGAGAGGAAGACCAAUGGCGAAGGCAGCCUGCUGGACAUUUACUGACGCUGAGGUACGAAGGCUAGGGGAGCGAAAGGGAUUAGAAACCCCAGUAGUCC